AGUGAACGCUGGCGGCAGGCCUAACACAUGCAAGUCGAGCGGCAGCGGGUCCUUCGGGAUGCCGGCGAGCGGCGGACGGGUGAGGAAUGCAUCGGAAUCUGCCCUGUCGUGGGGGAUAACCUAGGGAAACUUAGGCUAAUACCGCAUACGACCCACGGGUGAAAGCGGGGGAUCGCAAGAACUCGCGCGAUAGGAUGAGCCGAUGUCCGAUUAGCUAGUUGGCGGGGUAAAGGCCCACCAAGGCGACGAUCGGUAGCUGGUCUGAGAGGAUGAUCAGCCACACUGGGACUGAGACACGGCCCAGACUCCUACGGGAGGCAGCAGUGGGGAAUAUUGGACAAUGGGCGCAAGCCUGAUCCAGCCAUGCCGCGUGGGUGAAGAAGGCCUUCGGGUUGUAAAGCCCUUUUGUCCGGGAAGAAAUCGUCUGGGCUAAUACCCCGGGCGGAUGACGGUACCGGAAGAAUAAGCACCGGCUAACUUCGUG
rnacentral:rRNA from 1 species